rnacentral:rRNA from 1 species
GGCACAAGCGGUGGAGCAUGUGGUUUAAUUCGAAGCAACGCGAAGAACCUUACCAGGUCUUGACAUCCCCUGACAACCCGAGAGAUCGGGCGUUCCCCUUCGGGGGACAGGGUGACAGGUUGGUGCAUGGUUGUCGUCAGCUCGUGUCGUGAGAUGUUGGGUUAAGUCCCGCAACGAGCGCAACCCUCGACCUUAGUUGCCAGCAUUCAGUUGGGCACUCUAAGGUGACUGCCGGCUAAAAGGUCGGAGGAAGGUGGGAUGACGUCAAAUCAUCAUGCCCCUUAUGUUCUGGGCUACACACGUGCUACAAUGGCCGGUACAGACGGAGGCGAAGCCGCGAGCGGAGCAAAUCCGAAAAAGCCGGUCUCAGUUCGGAUUGCAGGCUGCAAUUCGCCUGCAUGAAGUCGGAAUCGCUAGUAAUCGCAGGUCAGCAUACUGCGGUGAAUACGUUCCCGGGCCUU